rnacentral:rRNA from 1 species
GUCGAGCGGACAGAAGGGAGCUUGCUCCCGGAUGUUAGCGGCGGACGGGUGAGUAACACGUGGGUAACCUGCCUGUAAGACUGGGAUAACUCCGGGAAACCGGAGCUAAUACCGGAUAGUUCCUUGAACCGCAUGGUUCAAGGAUGAAAGACGGUUUCGGCUGUCACUUACAGAUGGACCCGCGGCGCAUUAGCUAGUUGGUGGGGUAAUGGCUCACCAAGGCGACGAUGCGUAGCCGACCUGAGAGGGUGAUCGGCCACACUGGGACUGAGACACGGCCCAGACUCCUACGGGAGGCAGCAGUAGGGAAUCUUCCGCAAUGGACGAAAGUCUGACGGAGCAACGCCGCGUGAGUGAUGAAGGUUUUCGGAUCGUAAAGCUCUGUUGUUAGGGAAGAACAAGUGCGAGAGUAACUGCUCGCACCUUGACGGUACCUAACCAGAAAGCCACGGCUAACUACGUGCCAGCAGCCGCGGUAAUACGUAGGUGGCAAGCGUUGUCCGGAAUUAUUGGGCGUAAAGGGCUCGCAGGCGGUUUCUUAAGUCUGAUGUGAAAGCCCCCGGCUCAACCGGGGAGGGUCAUUGGAAACUGGGAAACUUGAGUGCAGAAGAGGAGAGUGGAAUUCCACGUGUAGCGGUGAAAUGCGUAGAGAUGUGGGAGGAAACCCAGUGGCGAAGCGACUCUCUGGUCUGUAACUGACGCUGAGGAGCGAAAGCGUGGGGAGCGAACAGGAUUAGAUACC